CGGGGUCCUCUAAACCGAAGCAUCGCCCUCUCUAGCACUCCUCUUGCUUAUUAUCAGUUACAGUUUUUUAUCAGUGAUCAUUGCGUGAUGUAAUUCUCAGAUUCUCUACUUUGUCUGAUCAUGAAGCUGUGUAAUAUGUGUUUAAAUAUUUGUGAACUCUGCGUUCUGGUACGGGUUUAUCACCUCACACAUCUAAGUUCCUAAUCGAAUGAAUCCAGCAGCUCACCCCGUAAUUUUAGCUGUUUAUCACCGUCUCAUCAAAACCAGAACAUUCAUGAACGCGGCGUGGCGGUAGAGUCAACAUGUGAAGCUCGUUUAUAGCUGAGUUAAAUCAUCCCAUUAAAACUGGUUUUUCAUUCUACCCAAGAAUAAUCCAUGACCACAAUAGUUGUGUUGUGUUUUGUUGCUGCUGCGCACAAGUUCACCAGCCAAUUUCUUUGAAGACAGUCAUGGUGUGUAACAAAAUUUCUGAAAUCUUUCCGUCUAGAUGGACCGUGCUAGUUUUUCUGUGUUACAUUCUUUUGUUCAUUUGUCAAGAUGAUAAAUGCCUACAAAACAUUUAGUAUUCUAUUCGCACGUCAUAGCCGCAAGAAAGGCUCACUUUUCUUUUGAAAAAUUUUGACGACCUCAAUAUGUAUCGAGGUAGAAAAUGAUUUCAGUCCAUGACUUGAGAAUGACUACCACGCAAACCAGGAGGAAAAAUGCUUCAGAGCAAAGAUCGAGUUGUCAAAUUUUUUAAUUAAAUCAUUGGAGGUGAAAAUCCUCCUUUAAACCUAGGUCUGGUGAAAUGGAAACAAAACUCGGAAAGUAUAGAAACGAAAAGAAAAGCGGUUUCAUGCCGAAGAACCGAGCAACCGUUCGAGAUCAAUUCUCGACAGAGCACAGGUGGUUCAUAUUUUUGUUGUACAUCGUCGUGGGGAUUCUCUUCAAUCAAGGGCUUAUCACAACUGCAUCACAAGAAGCUGACAACAAAUAUAAGUACAAUACGACGUUGGCCGUUCUUUUUACGGAAGUCAUCAAGCUUUUCGCAUCCAUCCUCCUUUUCUGGCGAGAAAAUGCUCUAUCUUCACUUUGGACGCAAACAGUUACCCACAAAAAGUGUAAGUUUUCUGUCUAAUACGUUAAAGCUACAACCAAUGAAUAGCAAACCAGAGCUCGAUGGAUUUUUUUAAUUUUUUCAAUCCUUAGAAAAGAAAGAAAAUCGGAACAACUGAUUCAGUCAUGAUUUUCAAAUUAUGAUUUCCUAUCAAGAAAGAAAACCUCGGGUUAUCUAGAGAUAGUGAUUUAGCCACUCGCUUAAUUUUGUCACUGAAUGAGAAUUACUUUAGUAACCGUUCAUAAAAUUCCAGCAAUUUUUCCUCCCAAAAUGAAUUACCUGGUUCUCAGAAUUUUGGUUACAGGACUUUUGGUCCAAUUUUUUUGUCCAUAAAUUUUCGUCCAAUUUAUUUUGUC
rnacentral:lncRNA from 1 species